rnacentral:lncRNA from 1 species
GGUUACUUGUUAGAUGAGGAAUCCAAAAUGGAUGAAUUUCAUGCAUAUCUUAAUUAUUAAAAAUUUAAUCAUUAGAGUGGUCAAACUAAUAAAUACAUGUUGUACUAAUAUAGAUACUCAGAAGAGAAAAAAAGUAUAAUAAUGAUUAUGGAUUGGUGAGAGGAAGCAUUUGUCUUUUUCAAAAUUUCCUUCGUUUUAAAUAUGGUAGCAUUCACAGUCUGUUCUCUAAGUUCUCCAUUCGGUGCAGAUAUUUUACAUUGCAUUUUAUGAGACAUGAAUAGAUGUAGAGUAAAAGCAGUAUAAUGAAUUUCUUGUAACUAUUGGCGUAAAUCUUGACAAGCAUGACAGUUGUCCUACUAACGUGAUCAUAUCCAUUGUGAUAAAUAUGUCUCCUAGUGGUGUUUUUGUCCGAUUAUCAAAGAAACCCCUUGAGUAAAUGACACGGCCAGUCCCGAAUCAAUUUAAUGGACUCGACACGUGUUGCGCGCCAAUUGUAGAUACCAACUAAACGUCGGAUCUAUCACCAAGGCAAUUUUGAUUUGCUUGACUAAAAAAUAUUUUUAACAAAGUUUCUCCUUAAAUACGAACUAAAAUCACCUAAACAAUUACCAAUUUUUCUCAAAUCAGUACCUAUAAUACAAAUUAGGGUACGCUAGUCCCUCAAAAUACAAACUAUACAAAUAAAAUGCUAUCAAAUCAAUAUUUACUUGCUUUAUAACUAACAGUCCUCAAAUAUACUUAAAAUACUAAACAUUUAAUGAGUCUAUAAUGAACCUUUCUGAUUUAAGCUACAUGUAUCCCAAAAGAACGCAUAAUGUUAAUUUGAUAAAUGAUGUCAUACAACCUAUGACGCAUGGCUCAAUUCAGUGGUUAAAUAGGCUCCAAAGCUGCUCAAUUCGACUGCUUUCUGUUUGAUAAAGAAAAAGGUGAAGCAAUAUAUGAGCUUAAAGCUCAGUAAGUGGAUAAUUUGCAAAUAAGUAAACUUUUCUUAUUUAUGCAUAUCGCCUGAAAAUUCUUACUCUAUUAAAAUUUUGAGAAAUUCUGAAAACUAGCAACACUUUUAAAACUAAGAAUGAUUGCAUCAUAAAAUUCUUUGCUCUUUAUUCUCGUGCAAUAACUGUAAAAUAUAACGAACAUAAAUAAUCUGACAUCCAUUAAAAUCUGUGAAAUACUAAUGUUGCUCAAUACUAUAAGUUGAAAGCUUAAUUUUGAGAACUGAAUAAACUGAAUUCUAUAAUCUGAAAUCUGAUAAGCUGUAGAAAUACUGAAAAAUCACACCAAAAAGGUAUCCAACCAAUUGUCUUGAUUGUGGAAUAUCAUUGAGAAAUAGGAAUCCAUGUUAUCAAAGAAUUUCUUGCAAUUAUUUCUAUUAGUAGCUUUACUCAUGUACAGAGUAAUCUCGAUGUACAAGACAAAGCCAUUCAAAUCUAAUAAUCUGGUCAUACGUACGUAGAGUUGCCCCAAAGGCUAAUCACCCUAGUAAACGGUCCAAAACCUAUGUGUGUACGAGAGUGGGUCCCAAAGAUAUCCGAUAAUCUGAUCAUACACUAUGGAAACAUAUUCACCAUAGUGCAAAGCGGCUAAAAUUACCAUAACUAGUCAUACAUUGUGGAAACACAUUCACACCAGUGCAGACUAUGGUAAAAUCACUUGGAUACUUUCUGAUGAUUUCUAGAAAUAACUUUACCUAUACUGAAACAUGUAAUACUAAUGGAACAUGCUAUUGAAAUGAUUUAAUUAAACUAGAUUUAAAUUUAAAAAUAACUGAUUAUUAAUCCACUUUAUUCUAAAAAUCAUGCUGUCAAAUCAACUAUUUGAAAUAAUAAAUUUUAUAAUCUAACAUAAAUUUAAUAAUUAAUUAAUUUCUAAAAAAUAAGUUCUAUAUCCACUCACCAAGUCAUAGUCGAUCAUGAUUUCAAUCUUCUCUUCACUGCUUCAACUUUAAAUAUCAAGUAUGAUAUUACGCACUCGCUCUAGUAAAUCAUAUCCCCUUACAAAGGUGCCUUGAGUAUUUUCCUACCAUUUGAAAUGUUAAUUUACCUAUGGAAACUUGCUAUAGUUUAUUUUCAACAUCAUAAUCCCAACUAAGGUCACUAACAACAUAUACUCCUUUAUAUAAAUUAUUUUAACACCAAAACUCCAAAUAUUUAACACUUAAUUUGGUUCCAAUAUUAAAAAUCCAUGAAAAUUAGAUGAUUGACAAAACUAGCACUAAUUUCAGAAUAUUGAAAACUAGCACCAAUGCCAUAUUGAAAUCUGUUAUCGAAAACAUUGACAAAAUUAGCACUUUUCUGGACAGGAUUUCAAAAAUAGUACCUGUGUAGGACUUUGUCUAAAAAUUGCUUAUAAUUAUUACUUAAAAAUGGUGAAAUCAAACCCAAUUCCUUAAUUUAAGUUAUUAACAUCAUAUAAUCCCAAGAAAAUCAAAGAAUAAGUAUCUAUUUCAUAAACGCAAUUUCAAAGUUCCCCUAUUUUCUUUUCUUUUUUCCAACACCAAUCAUUCAAUAUAUAUUUCUUUAACAUAUUCAUGUUUAAUAACUCAAAUAAAUUUCAAUAACCUCUAAUUUUAGCUAACUUCGAAUAUAACCAAAUUUUCCAUAAACCCUAAAAGAAAACUUAAUUCAAUAUACUUGCACUUACCUCUCUAAAUCAAAUGAAAAAUUGAAGAAAUGGAGCACCCAAGAAUUGAAAGCCCACUUCUUCUUUUUCUUUUCCUCUUUCUUUUCUUCUCUUCUUUCCCAUUUUUUUCCUUCUUUCUCGAUUCUUCUUGACUUCUUUCCCCGGUUUCUAGUGUGUGUGUGUUUGUAUUUUAAUUGUGAAUGGGUUUAUCAUUUG